rnacentral:rRNA from 1 species
UACAGAGGUCCCAAGCGUUGUUCGGAUUCACUGGGCGUAAAGGGUGCGUAGGUGGUGAGGUAAGUCGGAUGUGAAAUCUCCAAGCUCAACUUGGAAAUGGCAUUGGAAACUACCUUGCUGGAGGUUUGGAGGGGGGACUGGAAUUCUCGGUGUAGCAGUGAAAUGCGUAGAUAUCGAGAGGAACACCAGUGGCGAAGGCGAGUCCCUGGACAAAACCUGACACUGAGGCACGAAAGCUAGGGGAGCAAACAGG